GCGCUACACUGAUGAAGUCAUCGAGUUCAUUUCCUUUAUCGGAAGAUAUGGGUAAUCUUUUGAAACUUCAUCGUGCUGGGGAUAGAGCAUUGCAACUAUUGCUCUUGAACGAGGAAUCCCUAGUAAGUACAAGUCACUAGCUUGUGCUGAUUACGUCCCUGCCCUUUGUACACACCGCCCGUCGCUACUACCGAUUGAAUGGCUUAGUGAGGCCUUCGGAUUGAAAUUCGGAGACUGGCAACAGACUCUUGGUUUUGAAAAGUUGGACAAACUUGGUCAUUUAGAGGAAGUAAAAGUCGUAACAAGGUUUCCGUAGGUGAACCUGCGGAAGGAUCAUUA
rnacentral:ncRNA from 1 species